rnacentral:tRNA from 1 species
GAUCACCUCCUUAAUCGAAGACAUCAGCUUCUUCAUGAGUAUCCACACGAAUUGCUUGAUUCAUAGUCGAAGACGAUGCUGUAACGCGACCCUGUUAUAGGUCUGUAGCUCAGUUGGUUAGAGCGCACCCCUGAUAAGGGUGAGGUCGGCAGUUCAAAUCUGCCCAGACCUACCAAUUGCUUGGUGCAGAAGAAUACGGGGCCAUAGCUCAGCUGGGAGAGCGCCUGCCUUGCACGCAGGAGGUCAGCGGUUCGAUCCCGCUUGGCUCCACCACUCUCUCGUGUUGCGGUGAGUGUUAAAGAGUUCAGAAAUGAGCGCUCAGGGUAAUCCUGAUGAGUGCUGAUUUCUGGUCUUUUGACCGGUACGAAUAUCGUUCUUUAAAAAUUUGGAUAUGUGAUAGAAGUGACUGAUUAAUUGCUUUCACUGGCAAUUGAUCUGGUCAAGGUAAAAUUUGUAGUUCUCAAGACGCAAAUUUUCGGCGAAUGUCGUCUACACGAAGCAGACAGUAUCUCGAGGAA